rnacentral:misc_RNA from 1 species
AACGCACCUUGCGCUCCUUGGUAUUCCGAGGAGCAUGCCUGUUCGAGUGUCUUUAAAUAAUCGACUCCAAUUUUGUUGGGGCUCGGAUGUGGACGUUCUGCGGUUCCGUGAGGAGCCGCUGGUCCCAAAUUCAUUAGCUGUGAUUACACGAAAGCUGGCUUGUGGAGUGUAAACCUGCCUCCAUGCGGCGCGUGUCGUGGCUACCAACAGUCUACGGACAAACCAUUUUUUUGGCCUCGAAUCAGGUAGGACUACCCGCUGAACUUAA